GAGCCCCUUCCAGCCCCCUCAGGGAGUUGUCCGCUCAGAAGAAGCAGAGAGCACUUGUCUGGGGGUGGGAACACCCAUUCUGCUUCCCCUCUCUGGCCCGGACACACCCACAGCAGGGGCCGGUCCCUCAUUUCCCCGCCCCCCAUCUCCAAUCCCUCCCCGAGGGAGGCCCCAAGGAGGGUGGGUUCUUUAGAAGAAGGUUCCCUAGUUGAUCCAAUCAAGCUGCCACUGGUCGCUGCCUGCACUCGGGAACGGGAACGUGGCAGGUCCCUGCACUGGGGAACGUGGCCGGUCCCGGGCGUGGGAGCCGCCUCCCGCCCUGGCCAGAAGGUAAACGUCCUGCAGAGCUGCCUGGGGUGGGGAGGGGCUGGGUGGAGACCACCUCGGACUCCUGGGCUGUCUCCAUCCCUGACCGAUCCUGGGUGCUGGAGCUUAGCAAACGAGUUCAUGCACAGUCUGCCCCUGUGCAGACGAGGAGCCUGAGGUCCAAGAGGACCCAGGAUGCGGUGACCACCCCUGCCAACCUCUGGAACUUCUCGGGAACCCUGCUCCAGGGAGGUGCUUCCUUCUCUGAACCUGGGUUUUCUCAACUGUAAAACGGAUGUAAUCUGGUGCCCACCGCCCCAGCCACUGUGUGGGCAGAGGGCAGCUGGCAGGCCUUGAUGGGGCUUCUCCUGCAGUUUGACAAAGUUCCCCCCAGAUGAGUCCUAGGCUUCUAAGUGCCCAAGAAACCAGCAGAGCCGCAUUCCAGAUCCCCUGGCACAAGGGCAAAGGUCUCGGGGGCUGUGGUGCCGAACCUGACUUUCCAGCCCCAGUCGUCUCAAGAGAGAAGGUAAGGGGUUGAGGGGCGGGGAGGAGAUGCCAAUAGCCCAGGCGCUACUGUCUCAUCUGGUCCCUAUCCUCCCUGGUGGCCUUUGGCAUCCUGGUUUUACAGUGGAGAAAACUGAGGCUCAGGGAGUCACUGCCCAGGGUCACCUCGAGGACCUCUGGUCACCUGCUAUGUCUGGAGGGCCUCCCAGAGGAGAGGGAUGGGACGGCCAGGCAGAGAGUGGGAUGCUUCCCAGAGGAAUUCCUGUCCCUCAGGUCCCCCUUCCCACAGAUGGGCCGGCCAGGGCCCCCCGGAGAGAAGGUCGCUGAUACCCAGCUGUCUGGUGCCCCUGCCGCCCUCCACCAUGCCCUUGGAGAUGCCAUCCUCGGUCCCGAGGACUCAGACCUGGUGCCCUCUGUGACCCUAGCCGCAGCCCUGGUCCUGGUGUUCCUCCUGCUCUUGGCCUGGCUGGUGUAACACAGGCCCCUCUGAGUCUGCUGCUGCUGUGGCCUCCGAGGCAGAGGGUGGCGUAUCUGUUGGCCGGGCUGGGCAGGAGUCAGGAGUGGAGCUCCAGGAGCGGAUCCAGGGACGGGGCUGGAGGGUGGGGGUCUGCAGAGGUGGGGAGUUGAAGGUAAGAGUGUGGGGAAAACUUGUGGCCUCUGUGGAUGGCAGCCCCCGUGGGACCCCAGGAGGACCCCAAGGCCCCCCCACUGGCGAGCGGGAACCCAGGGGAGCCCUAGUCUCUGCUUUCCAACGUCACUGCUGGAGGCUCACCCCUCCAGAUGGCCGCAGAUGGUGGGCUAAGAGCCUGGGGCCCCAGAAAGUGCUGCGGCAGAUGGGGCUCAAAUCCACCUCAUCCAGGUUUGCCGCAGCGCUGGAGUCCCCACCUUUGCACGACCAUCCGGGUGCUGCAAAUAAAGCCAGGUGAUCCCUGGGAAUUUGUGGAACGAAAUCAAAGGGAGUCCAGAAAUGAGCGUUCCAGCCCAGGCUCUGUCCACGAAGGGUUGUGCCGGUUCCAUGUGGUCUUGGCCCGCCACCUGCUGGCUGAAGUGAGAAUUGCACCAUCUGCGGUGCGAUCCCUUUGGGGGUUCCUCAGGGCAGAGGAGAGUCAAAGCAUGCACCUGUGUGUCCAGGCUGUGUGCCGGGAGCGGCAGAUGCCCUCUGUCCCCCACCGCUGCGUGGAUUCAGCCCAGUGGAGAGGGCAGGCCCAGCGUGUGGCAGGGGCAGGGGCAGGGGCAGGGCUCUGCUGGGGCCAUAAGCUGCGGAACUGCACCUGCGAGGAGGAUCCCACUCAGGGACCGGUUUUAUAAACGCUGAGCGUGUGCGGUAGCGAGGUGGGCAUCCUUCCUCCCAGCCUGGCGGAGCGACGCUGGGGGUCUGCAGGGCGAGGGGGUCCUCCAGCUGUCCUCGCAGUCAGGUGACCGAGUGAAUCAGUUCUGGCCCAGAGGGCCAGUCCUGGGGGCCAGGCCCAGAGAGCCACGCCAAAGACCUGGCCGGACACUCCUUGUGGAUAUUCUUGGGGACCUUCUCGGGGUGCCGGCCAGCCCGCACUAUCAGCCCUCAUGUGGCAGGCGGGGACCCGAGGCCUGCGGGAGAGAAGGCGGCUGCCUGGGAGAUGGACACGGUCUGAUCUGAGCAGAAUAUGUUCGAUUGGGAGACCCGAGGGCAUCGCCCAGAUGCUGGCAGACGGAGUCCCUGGGCGGCUCGGGGGCCACGCCCCCACCCACGACAGCCCUGGUAGAAGUGAGGAGGCUGGCUGACGGCUGAACAUCCCCAGGAAGACCCGGCACUUCUCUGAUGCACCCCGAGGACCUCGUGCUCCCCCCUCGGGGAGGGCAGGCGGGUUUGGCCCGGUUAGAACUGCCCGCAGCUUCUGGGACAGGUUGAGGGCAGCGGCCUCGCUGUGCGUGGCCUCCUGAUGCUCGGCCCUCCCCCCACCCCAGGUCGGCCAGCCUGAUCUGUAGACUUGAGGACCCGGAACACCCCCCCCACCCCCUUCCCGCCUCUGGGAAGCUGAGCUGGCCUUUCCUCCGGUGGGAGGGCGCUGCCAUCCUGGUGGCCGCUGGGGGAGCAGCGGCCUGGCCUGGGGGAAGGGCUCCCGGGCCGGCCACAGACUGGGGGUGCAGUCCUGCCACACCGGGCCCCCUCCUUGAGCUCCCGUCCACCCCGUCUCGGCCGGGGCUGACCUGCCUGUGCGGGAUGUGACGGCUUGGGAAAGAACACUGGGCCCCAGAGCUCGGAAGGUGCUAGAGAGAGAGACAGCGAGGCGGUCAGGGGAAGUCUCUGGUCCUGCCGAGAUGGACGUGGGUGCCCACCCGGAACUGUGGUGGCCAGACCGUGGACUCUGCCGGUUUCGAUCCUGCCCUGUCACUUUCCAGCUGGCCCUGACCCUGGGCAGGUGCCUGCCUCCCCCACACUUCUGGUGCCUCAGCUGGGGUGGUACUCUCACCUCCCACUCGGGGGGCGUCGGAGAGGAUCGAAUGAGUUCACACAGGGAGCGCGAACCUUGAGCCACAGUCCCGUGGAGGUGUCUGCAGGGGAGGGUGUCUCAGAUUCCAGGGGAUUCAGAUGGCCUUUUUAUUCAUCUGCACGUGUGAAUUUGUCUACAACACACGUGAAUGGCGGGGGCCAUUUUUGAAAAGGUUAAACGGUUGCUUUGCACAAACUAGAAUCGUCACCUGUGUGUUGCCUACGUGGUAAAAAAUGACGAAAAGUUAAUAAAACAGAAAACUCUUGGGGCGCCUGGGUGGCGCAGUCGGUUAAGCGUCCGACUUCAGCCAGGUCACGAUCUCGCGGUCCGUGAGUUCGAGCCCCGCGUCGGGCUCUGGGCUGAUGGC